rnacentral:tRNA from 1 species
GGACGUGUGGACGAGGUAGGCCACGUCGUCGAGCGCCGGAAGCGCAGGGAGCGCCGGCGGCUCGGUCUCGUUCGCGUCCUC